rnacentral:rRNA from 1 species
GACGAACGCUGGCGGCGUGCUUAACACAUGCAAGUCGAACGGUGAAGCGCCUUCCUUUUUGGUGGGUGUGGAUGAGUGGCGAACGGGUGAGUAACACGUGAGUAACCUGCCCCCUUCUUCUGGAUAACCGCAUGAAAGUGUGGCUAAUACGGGAUAUUCUGGGUCUGUCGCAUGAUGGGUCUGGGAAAGAUAUUGUUUCGGUGGGGGAUGGGCUCGCGGCCUUUCAGCUUGUUGGUGGGGUGAUGGCCUACCAAGGCGGUGACGGGUAGCCGGCCUGAGAGGGGGGGCGUCACGGCUGGGAUGGAGCCCCGGCCCGGCCACGGGCGGGAGCAGGGGGGGGGAAAGAGUGAAGGGGGGGCGCGGGCUGGAUGCCGCGCGCGGGGGUGAGGGAGGGCGUCUUUGGGUUGGGGCCCUUUUUCGGGAAGGAAAGGAGGCCGGCCUGGUUGGGGGGGGGUUGCAGGGUGGUUGAAAAAGAGCCCCGGCAAACCUAGGG